UACGAAAGGGGCAAGCGUUGUUCGGAUUUACUGGGCGUAAAGGGCACGCAGGCGGUCUCGCCAGUCAGGGGUGAAAGCCCGGGGCUCAACCCCGGAACUGCCUCUGAUACUGUGAGACUAGAGACUAGGAGAGGGUGGUGGAAUUCCCAGUGUAGAGGUGAAAUUCGUAGAUAUUGGGAGGAACACCAGAGGCGAAGGCGGCCACCUGGGCCAAGACUGACGCUGAGGUGCGAAAGCGUGGGGAGCAAACAGG
rnacentral:rRNA from 1 species